CUGGUCGCGGGGGCGGGUGGAGAGGAAUACUUAGCUGGGGAUUCGCGGCAGAGGAGCGGAAGUUGGCUGCCGGCGUGGUUGAAGCGUGUGUAGAGUGAGAGGAGGAGCGUUUGUCGCCUUGGCGUUUGUCAGCAGGCGCAGUGAAAGACAAAGAUGAAGACCCCCUGGAAGGCGUUGAAAGUGGUGAAGAGAUAGGCCAUGACCACCGACUCCUUAUUGAUGAAGAGCAGGCCGAAAGCCCAAGUGAGACCCAGCAGGAAGAGCAGCGCGAUGGCCCCCAGGGCCCAGGAUCUGGGGAGGGGGAGGGGGAGAAGGGAUAUCAAAGUCCCUUACAGUGGAGAAGCCCUCCCCCGUAGCCCUGCUGCGUGUCCCUCUUCAGGCGAGCCUCGAUGCUGGCUGCAAAGACCCACCUAGGAUGCGCGGGCCUUGGGGGAAUGGCCUGCACAGCGGUACUUUCAACCAGCCCGGGCCCGAGGUCGGGGUUUGGGGUUUUGCAAAGGUCAGUCGUUAGCCUUCACCCUUUGGUCCGUGUUUCCAGACCCUUAAACUGUCUUUUGCUGCCUA